rnacentral:rRNA from 1 species
GACGAACGCUGGCGGCGUGCUUAACACAUGCAAGUCGAACGAUGAAGCUGGAGCUUGCUCCGGUGGAUUAGUGGCGAACGGGUGAGUAACACGUGAGCAAUCUGCCCUUCACUCUGGGAUAACUGCGGGAAACUGUAGCUAAUACCGGAUACGAGACCUUGGGGCGUCCCAGGGUCUGGAAAGAAUUUCGGUAAAGGAUGAGCUCGCGGCCUAUCAGCUAGUUGGUGAGGUAAUGGCUCACCAAGGCGACGACGGGUAGCCGGCCUGAGAGGGUGACCGGCCACACUGGGACUGCGACACGGCCCAGACUCCUACGGGAGGCAGCAGUGGGGAAUAUUGCACAAUGGGCGAAAGCCUGAUGCAGCAACGCCGCGUGAGGGAUGAAGGCCUUCGGGUUGUAAACCUCUUUUAGUAGGGAAGAAGCGCAAGUGACGGUACCUACAGAAAAAGCACCGGCUAACUACGUGCCAGCCGCCGCCGUAAGAC